UGUGAAGAGGUGCCUUCUGCCAUGAUUGCAAGUUUUCUGAGGCCUCCCCAGCAAUGCAGAACUGACACAUGCAUGCCUGCCCCUUUAAUCUAUUAACUCAUGGGGGAAUGUCCAAGAAGAAAAGAAAUAAACUACAAGAUAUUCUUCUGGAUAUGGCUUCUGGUGAAUGCACUUGGAGAUACAUACAUUUUGGUUGUGAUUUAGGAAAUUUUGUCACUUUGAGAUAAUGCAGAAAGGGAAAAAACUGGCAAAACAUUUUAGUAAAACUAUGAUUAGAUUUUAUUUUUCAAUAAGGACUGCAAACCUUUUCAUGUUUUAUAUCUAAAAUGCAUUCAAAUGUAAGAAAAGAUUAUUUAUUUUUUAUAAUGGCUGUUCAGUUUAUUUUUCAUGACUAAAUGAUCAAAGCAAACAAGAUCUAAAAAAGGAAAUACAGCUUUUUUCUCAGUUGGAAGUUUUUUUUCACUCUCACAUACCAUUAGGAAAAUGACAGCAAUUUGAUAAAAUAUUUCUUUGGGAGUAAUUCAUUUACGAAGAUGUCAGAAACAUACAAGUUUUAUUUUUGGUUUUAAAUAGGGCUCUGUUGUUAUUUAUUUAUUUUCAAAAGUUUAUUUUCAAAUAUCAUAUGCUAAUGGUAGAGCACAAAAAAAGAUUGUCAGAUUUAACAUUAGUUAUUUUGGCCCAAUUUUGCAAAGCUUUUCCUAUUUCUAAUAGUAAUUCUAACAUCUGUCAAGUUGUUCCAACUCUUUUAAUAUCACAUAUAUAUUUAGUCAUUUAAUGAGAUGGCAUGUGUCCAUCUCAAAUAUAACAAGGUUACCUAGUGACAUAAUUAUAAUUUCGUAUGUAUGAUUUAUUAACUUCAACUUUUUUGAAUUCAGUUUCUAGUAAUAUGAUGUAAAGUAGUUGUAUUCCCAUGAUAUACCCAGAGUACGGUAGGACAGUCUCACUAAGAAGGACCAGCAGACUAAGAAGGACCAGCAGAUAUUUUCUUUCUACAAAUCCAAAGACUAUUUUCAGUCAUCAAUUUUUUUUUAUUGUUUAGCACUUUUGACAGCUGGACAUAUGCACUCUCUCUCUUGAAAUAAUAUCUUUUAUGCUGUGUUGAUUUUUCUCUCUUAGCGGUUUUCUUGACUUCGUUACAGGUUUAUUUUCUGCUGGCCAGCUAAAAAAUGUUGAAGUUUCUUAAACGUGAUGUUAAAGUAGUUCUCUGAUUAGCAGCAUCAGCAACAACUUCCAACUUGUUGGAAGUACAAAUUCUGGGUUCCCGUCACAGAUGUACAGAAUUGCAAACUCAGAAUGGAAGCCAGAUAUCUGUAGUUUAACAAGUGAUCUGAAUUAUUCUGAUAAACACUGAAGUUUGAGAACCACUUUUCUCCGUUAUUGUCACUUUACUUCAUAUUCUCAUUUCAAUUAUACUCAGAUAAAACCAUUUUCUUUUCUUAAAGUAGGAUUCAAACAAAAUGUAUCUGUAAAGGGUGAGAUAAUAUAUAUUGUGUGCU
rnacentral:lncRNA from 10 species